GACAGACACACACACACAGAUAGAGAUAGAUGUGGAGUGAGUGAGACAGAAGGGAAAGAGAUCAGUGGAAGUGCUUGGCUUAGGUUGAUGGCUAAAAGAACUAAUUUUGAGAACAGAUACUUUUAUUCUUGCUUCCUACAGCAAAAGACUCAAAGUAUUUCAAGAAGCUUUGUAGAGUUUAACAUCUGAAUCUUUAAUGAACAAGAGUAGAAGGAUGAAGUCCUUCAGCGUUUUUCUAGUGAUCCUUUGGCUUCAGUUCACCUGGGUGAGAGGCCAGCAGAAAGAGGUGGAGCAGAGUCCUGAGUUCCUCAGUGUCCCAGAGGGAGCCAUCGCCUCUCUCAACUGCACUUACAGGGACAGUGCCUCUGACACCUUCAGGUGGUACCGACAGUACCCUGGGAAAGGCCCUGAGUUGCUCAUGUCUCUAUACUCCAAUGGUGACCAAGAAGAAGGAAGAUUCAGAGCGCAUCUCAACAAAGCCAACCGCUAUGUUUCCCUGAACAUUAGAGACUCCCAGUCCCUUGACUCAGCCACCUACUUCUGUGCAGUGAGUGCACGCACAGUGGUCCCCAGGCACCUGCAGCCUGCACCCAAACCUCAGAGGCUCAGGCAGACCUGAGGCAAAGUGAAGAUCACAGGGUAGAGCAGUUCUGUUCCUGCUCCAGAUGCAGUGGGAAUUAAGAACAAUAGCAGGAAGGGUUUCAUAGAGUAGGACAGUAUUUUUAACAAUUAUGAAAGUAACUGACCAUGAUGGGAAAGUUUACACCCAUGAAACUGUCACCAUAAAUCAUCCCACAAACAUGACA